rnacentral:rRNA from 1 species
GACGAACCGUGCGAACGUUGUUCGGAAUCACUGGGCAUAAAGGGCGCGUAGGCGGCUUUUCAAGUCAGGGGUGAAAUCCGGCAGCUCAACUGUCGAAGUGCCUUUGAUACUGGAAGCUCGAGGGAGGUAGGGGUGUGUGGAACUUCCGGUGGAGCGGUGAAAUGCGUUGAUAUCGGAAGGAACGCCGGUGGCGAAAGCGACGCACUGGACCUCUUCUGACGCUGGAGGCGACGAAAGCUAGGGGAGCAAACGGG